AUUGAACGCUGGCGGCAUGCCUUACACAUGCAAGUCGAACGGUAACAGGUCUUCGGAUGCUGACGAGUGGCGAACGGGUGAGUAAUACAUCGGAACGUGCCUAGUAGAGGGGGAGAACUACUCGAAAGAGUGGCUAAUACCGCAUGAGCUCUACGGAUGAAAGCAGGGGAUCGCAAGACCUUGUGCUACUAGAGAGGCCGAUGGCAGAUUAGGUAGUUGGUGGGAUAAAAGCUUACCAAGACGACGAUCUGUAGCUGGUCUGAGAGGACGACCAGCCACACUGGGACUGAGACACGGCCCAGACUCCUACGGGAGGCAGCAGUGGGGAAUUUUGGACAAUGGGCGCAAGCCUGAUCCAGCAAUGCCGCGUGCAGGAUGAAGGCCUUCGGGUUGUAAACUGCUUUUGUACGGAACGAAAAGCCCUGGGUUAAUACCCUGGGGUCAUGACGGUACCGUAAGAAUAAGCACCGGCUAACUACGUGCCAGCCGCCGCCGUAAAAC
rnacentral:rRNA from 1 species